AUUGAACGCUGGCGGCAUGCCUUACACAUGCAAGUCGAACGGUAACGGGCCUUCGGGUGCCGACGAGUGGCGAACGGGUGAGUAAUGUAUCGGAACGUACCUUUCAGUGGGGGAUAACGUAGCGAAAGUUACGCUAAUACCGCAUAUUCUGUGAGCAGGAAAGCAUGGGAUCGCAAGACCUUGCGCUGAUUGAGCGGCCGAUAUCAGAUUAGCUAGUUGGUGAGGUAAAGGCUCACCAAGGCGACGAUCUGUAGCGGGUCUGAGAGGAUGAUCCGCCACACUGGAACUGAGACACGGUCCAGACUCCUACGGGAGGCAGCAGUGGGGAAUUUUGGACAAUGGGGGCAACCCUGAUCCAGCCAUGCCGCGUGAGUGAAGAAGGCCUUCGGGUUGUAAAGCUCUUUCGGCCGGGAAGAAAUCGUAUCAGCUAAUACCUGGUGCGGAUGACGGUACCAGCAUAAGAAGCACCGGCUAACUACGUGCCAGCAGCCGCGGUAACAC
rnacentral:rRNA from 1 species